AACAGGUCACACUGGUCUGGCUUGUGUUUCUGGGAAACAGUCAACUUGAGCUUUGUGAAGAAGUGAAUCACAACAAAAUGAUUGCACCAAAUUGCAUCAUACUGUAGUUAUUAGCGCCACAGUUUGUAAAGCAAGUUUCCUGUUCUGCGUAACUAGUGACGAGGAAAAACAUUCCAAAAUGAGUCUCUUUGGGGAUCAAGUGAAAGGGAACGAUGAAAGUAGUUUGAUGGAAGGUGAGAGAUCAGACCCACCUGAACCCAGCCAAGUGUCUAUGAAGACUGACUGGUCAAUGGAUCAACCAUGGAAUUUGAGAGACAGAAACAGUUCUACUGAGCUGAGCUUGAUGGAAGGUGAGAGAUCAGACCCACCUGAACCCAGCCAAGUGUCUAUGAAGACUGACUGGUCAAUGGAUCAACCAUGGAAUUUGAGAGACAGAAACAGUUCUACUGAGCUGAGACUCCAGAAGGAGAAAUCAAAAGUAACCAGCAGAAAUCAAAUGGAAUCCAUAUUUAAGG